GAUGAACGUUGGCGGUGUGCCUAAUACAUGCAAGUCGAACGGAGUUAAUAGCAAUAUUGACUUAGUGGCGAACGGGUGAGUAACGCGUUGGUGAUCUGCCUUGAAGUGUGGAAUAACGCUCCGAAAGGAGCGCUAAUACCGCAUGUGCUCUCAAUUUUUAGAAACUUGAGAGGAAAGGAUUUAUUCGCUUCGAGAGGAGCCUGCGUCCCAUCAGCUGGUUGGUAGGGUAAAGGCCUACCAAGGCAAUGACGGGUAGGGGACCUGAGAGGGUGGCCCCCCACAAUGGAACUGAAACACGGUCCAUACACCUACGGGUGGCAGCAGUAGGGAAUAUUAGAAAUGGACGAAAGUCUGAUCUAGCAACACCGCGUGUGCGAAAGAAGGCCUUGGGUCGUAAAGCACUUUUUGGAAGGAAUAGGAAGGAAUGUACUUCCAGAAUAAGUCUCGGCUAACUACGUGCCAGCAGCCGCGGUAAGAGUGUGUGUA
rnacentral:rRNA from 1 species